UUGGAGAUUGGCGCCCGAAAUGUUCAUAGAACAAAACGUGCACAAACCACGAGACACUCUAGACAGAAGUUUCAAACAGUAUGGAGGAAUUGCGAUUCGUUGCCACAAGUUUUUCGAAUUUAUACUAGCGGUAAAAAUUAUUCGAUUGACACUAAAUGAGUCUUUUUUAGUAAGGAAAUCUUACAUUAAGCUGAUAAAUUUUCAUGUACCUGAGAAGCUGGAUGUCAAUGAUACAAGAGGAUAAAAGGCAGUUCGGUAAUACGCUGAACUGCAAAUAUCAAGGAUUCAAAGAGGAGUGUCACCAUUUAACAUGACAAGUAGUGUUCCAGGCCAUGGUUUUUUGGAAUUCAAUGCCACCAAUGCCAGAAAAUUUGUCGUGCUUUUGAUGAACAGAAAAAGCAUGGUCUUUUAUUAAAGAAUACAACAAGCCUUUCAUGGUCAAUCAAGAUCUGAAUAGAAAUUAACGCGUCGUGCAAAGAUAAUAAGCUGUUUGAGAUGUGCGGAGAGGAUAUUACAAUGCCAUCAGAGAACUGUUAGUUCUUUGGUGGUAACAAGGUCCAAAGGAACAACAACAAGCAUGGACACCUUCUUUCAAGUUUAAUUGGUGGCCUGGAGAGGAGGUAUUUGGUAAGAAACUUACCUGACCUUUGCAGCAAUUAAAAAAAGGUAUGGUUAGAAAAGAAAGUGGGUGAUGAAACCAAGUAAAACAUUUCACUCAAAGCGUUUUAGUCUUUGCGGAUAUAGUAAACCGAUCUAUUGAUGGAUGUGAUGAAAAUGGAGUUAGCAAAAGCGAAAACAUUCCAUUGACAAGGAAAUUCGUUGGCAAUACCGCUUUCCAAGAUCCUUUCUACAUUUUACGCCGUACCUUAUUUAGGUAAGAAUUUAAAAGAAAUUCAUUUGGACUACAUUGGCUCCAAUGCAAUGCUAAGCACAUGGGCGGGAAUGUGACGUUGGACCCCCCGACACCAGCCCCCCCACCGACGCGUGUGAUUCUCUGAGAAAGCCUUGUUUGGUCAAUUGCGUGUCCAUUCGUUCAAUGAAUCUUGAUACUUAAGACGAUUUCCUCGACUUCUGUAGCGAACGUGACUCGUUUAAGUGGCCGCGAGGUGAUGCCUUUCGUGCCGUCUGUUUCAGAUUGGACAUUCAUCUCAAUCGCAGGUUUGUUCACCGCUUCCGUUAUCAAUUCGGCUACAGAAACUUUUAUGGAAUUGGUAUCCACGAAUUCUUCAUCUUAAAUUUAAUGGUGACCGGCACAUUAGAUUUUCUUUCCGGUACGUCCAGCACCAGGAUGUCCUCCGUAGGGGCUUGGGCUUGUUCUGACAUUGCACAUCCGUUUUGCUGGCAGUAGAUUCAGUCAUCGCUGGAUCAUUUGGUAAAACAGCUUGAACAGUACUCGCGUUAUUUAACACACCUUCGCAAUUUUUCUGUUGAUUGGCCAUUGUUUCCCGUGCUUGUUGCCUCCGUAGAAUUCUCCUAGUUCUGUUCAACUCCUUGGUGGUUUGUAUCAACAAAGUUGUCAGUUUUUCUGAGUUUUUUCGUUCUCUUCUUCCUGUUGUUCAGACAUAUGGAGUUGAUUAUCUUUCAACUCGAUUAGUCGUUCAGACUCUUUUUGCUUUUUCUUCCAUUCAAAAUCUUGAGAUCUAUUUUUCGUUGUUAGCGUGGGGUUAAUUGCAUCUGGUUUCUCUGCUGGGCCGAUAGGGCUAUACACCUUGUUCUGGGUUAAGGCCGUCCGAUCUUAUUUUCCGAUUAGAAAAUGCUUCUGGGCUCUGAUGUAGGCUGUUUGGGCUGCUGAUUUUGUUGUCCCGUAGCUGAUCGUGUAGAGUAGCCGUACAACUCGAUUAAAAAUUGUUCCAAAAAAGUGUGGCCACAAAGUUUCAUCAAAAAUGUUGGUUAAGCAUCUCGCGAACAAUGAAUUCGAGGAAGGUGAAUUUUUUUAGAAUUUGAAGUGAAUGUUUAGUUGAAGGUGAUGGUAAUGUAGUGUAAUGGACGGAUGACACUAUUGAUUGAUGACGCCAUUCUUGUAAUAUGGAGUAUUGUUUACUUCCAAAUCGAAGCAAUACUAUUGCUGCUUGCAACGUAAGAUGGCAAGGGUGAGGAACUAAUUACAAAGUACACAGUAUGUUUUCGUCCAAGAUAUUUAAUACAUCUUCGCGAUUCUCCUUUUCUCGGAUCCUUGCUUCUUCCCGUGUCAGCUGCCUCCAAGAAAUUGCCACGAAGGUAUUAAACAGAACAACGAGAAUUCUCUUAUCUAAAGGAAUUGCAUUUGCAAGCAGCUACGGGUUUUGUCUUCACCUCUGGUUACAUUGUCACCAGUUACAGCAUCUCUAUCAAUUAUAUGCUUUUAAGCAAAAAUUCUCGUGACAUUUAAUUAAUUUAAAUCAAAGUAUUUUAUAGCAUGACUACAUAUUUGGUUUUAUAUUUUGUGAAGAAUUGUCUGAAUUUUGGAUUUUUCGCUUGUGAAUUUAGACAGCAAUUUAUCCAAUCCUGAUGAGUAGGCCUAUGCUAAAUUAAUUGAUUUUUUUGUUUUGUCAUUUUUUAUGUACCUUUUUUAUUAUUAUUAUUUUUAGGAUUAACGGUAAAGUCGGUCAUAAAUAUUAAAUCGUUUGAAUGGAAAACAACGAAUAUAAAAAAGAGCGUGUGACGA
rnacentral:lncRNA from 1 species